UGCCAUGCCGUGAAUAUUUAACCAUAGG
rnacentral:piRNA from 1 species